CGGCGCCACGAGUGGGGAUCGCGAUUAUUGGGCCUAAAGCGUCCGUAGCCGGCUUUGUAAAUCCUUUGUGAAAUGGUUGGGCUUAACCCAACCACGGGCAGGGGAGACUGCAGAGCUAGAGACCGGGAGGGGCAUGAGGUAUUUUGUGGGGAGCGGUAAAAUGCUAUAAUCCACGAAGGACCACCGAUGGCGAAGGCAUCAUGCCAGAACGGAUCUGACGGUGAGGGACGAAAGCCAGGGGAGCGAACCGGAUUAGAUACCCGAGUAGUCC
rnacentral:rRNA from 1 species